AUGAUCUUAUGCUCUCUAAGUAUGUCGGUUACUUCUUUGAAUGAUCUUCUCCUUUGUAGAGUUACCACGGAUAGGUCAGCAAAGAUUUGUAGCAGUGCAUAUUUUGACGGUAGGUCAGUGCAAUUUCUUGCCGCUCUCAUAAUAGCCUCCUUCACAUGGAAGUAUUGGAGGUGGGUUAAUGUGUCUCGUGCUGUCUCCACUGGAAAG